CCUGGAAGGAGGAGAUAAAAGAAGAAAAGUAUAGCUCAGUGGUGGUUGACUGAGAAAGGGAGGAGAAUUCUUGAGCUAGUCCUGUGAAGGAAGGCCUGGCUAGGGCCAGAUUCUAAUCGGAGACUGUCUUGCAGCUUCCUGAAACAAAGGAUCAGCUGGGGUUAGGACCCAACCAGAGACAUAUGAGAGUCAGAUCCUCCUUAGGACAGGGUCCCUGGGCUGGAACCUGAUUAGAUGAGCCUGCAUUCCCCUUCUGGCCUACGAAGGUGAGGGAGUGAAGACCCUGGAGACAAGGACUGGCAGGCCCCAAAAGCCUGAAAUUGGACUGAUAUGAAUGAUAUGAAGCUGCCAGACAAUUGGCAUGCUGACUUGGGCUUCCCUGGAAAGGGCAGGACUAAAAGUGAGUUGGCUUGAGGGCCAAGUCACAGGAAGAGGCAGACCACUGCAGGGCUAGAGCAGCUGUCAUCAUGGGGCAGUAAAGAAGGAGGCCCCUACACCCUGCCCAGCCACAAUGGGGUGCAGUUGUGAUGUGAAAUAAUGGAGUGAAGCUGCCAACCAGACUACUUGAACACCUUUCAAAAUAAUAUAGAGAAGAUACUGUGUUGCCCUCUCUCCAAGAGGUCAUGAUGAACAUUGUCCCUGAUAUAGACUUUUUGUUCCACUUCCUCUGUUUACCAACAUACUAACUUUUGCCACUAAGCACUAUAGUUUGCAUAAACAUUAAACUUAACACUCUUUCCAAAUAAGUAUAGACUGUUUUUGGAGGUCUUAAUAAGUUUCCUGAGAAGGCCAUGGUUAUGCAG